UGGGGUGUCUUUUCGCGCACUUUCCGCCCAAUAGUGUCCCAUAUAUGCUCGAUAUGGUUCAAAGUCGGGCUACGAUCGGGCCAAGGAAGAUGAACCAAAUUCCAUUUGAACAUUGGAUCUUCCUCCACGAUGCUAAUUUCUAACUUUGGCGAGCUCUGCACUACAUUAGAUACGGAAAACUGUGUGUCUGUUCGUUAGCAAAGGUCUCCGAAAUGGUCUUAUCACACGAUAACCAGUAGCGAUGAGUUGAUCUCGAACAGUUCUUGUUAAAA
rnacentral:lncRNA from 1 species